rnacentral:tRNA from 1 species
GCCGGCGUCGCUUAACCAGGUAUAGCGAGGAGUUCACACCUCCUUGCCCGGAAGGGCUUCUGGGUUCAAAUCCCAGCGCCGGCG